rnacentral:rRNA from 1 species
GAUGAACGCUGGCGGCGUGCCUAAUACAUGCAAGUCGAGCAAACGGACGAGAAGCUUGCUUCUCUGAUGUUAGCGGCGGACGGGUGAGUAACACGUGGAUAACCUACCUAUAAGACUGGGAUAACUUCGGGAAACCGGAGCUAAUACCGGAUGAUAUUUUGAACCGCAUGGUUCAAAAGUGAAAGACGGUCUUGCUGUCACUUAUAGAUGGAUCCGCGCUGCAUUAGCUAGUUGGUAAGGUAACGGCUUACCAAGGCAACGAUGCAUAGCCGACCUGAGAGGGUGAUCGGCCACACUGGAACUGAGACACGGUCCAGACUCCUACGGGAGGCAGCAGUAGGGAAUCUUCCACAAUGGGCGAAAGCCUGACGGAGCAACGCCGCGUGAGUGAUGAAGGUCUUCGGAUCGUAAAACUCUGUUAUUAGGGAAGAACAUAUGUGUAAGUAACUGUGCACAUCUUGACGGUACCUAAUCAGAAAGCCACGGAUAACUACGUG